AGCGUACACGGUGGAUGCCCUGGCAGUCAGAGGCGAUGAAGGACGUGCUAAUCUGCGAUAAGCGUCGGUGAGGUGAUAUGAACCGUUAUAACCGGCGAUUUCCGAAUGGGGAAACCCAGUGUGUUUCGACACACUAUCAUUAACUGAAUCCAUAGGUUAAUGAGGCGAACCGGGGGAACUGAAACAUCUAAGUACCCCGAGGAAAAGAAAUCAACCGAGAUUCCCCCAGUAGCGGCGAGCGAACGGGGAGCAGCCCAGAGUCUGAAUCAGUGUGUGUGUUAGUGGAAGCGUCUGGAAAGGCGCGCGAUACAGGGUGACAGCCCCGUACACAAAAAUGCACAUGCUGUGAGCUCGAUGAGUAGGGCGGGACACGUGGUAUCCUGUCUGAAUAUGGGGGGACCAUCCUCCAAGGCUAAAUACUCCUGACUGACCGAUAGUGAACCAGUACCGUGAGGGAAAGGCGAAAAGAACCCCGGCGAGGGGAGUGAAAAAGAACCUGAAACCGUGUACGUACAAGCAGUGGGAGCCUCUUAAUGGGGUGACUGCGUACCUUUUGUAUAAUGGGUCAGCGACUUAUAUUCUGUAGCAAGGUUAACCGAAUAGGGGAGCCGAAGGGAAACCGAGUCUUAACUGGGCGUUAAGUUGCAGGGUAUAGACCCGAAACCCGGUGAUCUAGCCAUGGGCAGGUUGAAGGUUGGGUAACACUAACUGGAGGACCGAACCGACUAAUGUUGAAAAAUUAGCGGAUGACUUGUGGCUGGGGGUGAAAGGCCAAUCAAACCGGGAGAUAGCUGGUUCUCCCCGAAAGCUAUUUAGGUAGCGCCUCGUGAAUUCAUCUCCGGGGGUAGAGCACUGUUUCGGCAAGGGGGUCAUCCCGACUUACCAACCCGAUGCAAACUGCGAAUACCGGAGAAUGUUAUCACGGGAGACACACGGCGGGUGCUAACGUCCGUCGUGAAGAGGGAAACAACCCAGACCGCCAGCUAAGGUCCCAAAGUCAUGGUUAAGUGGGAAACGAUGUGGGAAGGCCCAGACAGCCAGGAUGUUGGCUUAGAAGCAGCCAUCAUUUAAAGAAAGCGUAAUAGCUCACUGGUCGAGUCGGCCUGCGCGGAAGAUGUAACGGGGCUAAACCAUGCACCGAAGCUGCGGCAGCGACGCUUAUGCGUUGUUGGGUAGGGGAGCGUUCUGUAAGCCUGUGAAGGUGUGCUGUGAGGCAUGCUGGAGGUAUCAGAAGUGCGAAUGCUGACAUAAGUAACGAUAAAGCGGGUGAAAAGCCCGCUCGCCGGAAGACCAAGGGUUCCUGUCCAACGUUAAUCGGGGCAGGGUGAGUCGACCCCUAAGGCGAGGCCGAAAGGCGUAGUCGAUGGGAAACAGGUUAAUAUUCCUGUACUUGGUGUUACUGCGAAGGGGGGACGGAGAAGGCUAUGUUGGCCGGGCGACGGUUGUCCCGGUUUAAGCGUGUAGGCUGGUUUUCCAGGCAAAUCCGGAAAAUCAAGGCUGAGGCGUGAUGACGAGGCACUACGGUGCUGAAGCAACAAAUGCCCUGCUUCCAGGAAAAGCCUCUAAGCAUCAGGUAACAUCAAAUCGUACCCCAAACCGACACAGGUGGUCAGGUAGAGAAUACCAAGGCGCUUGAGAGAACUCGGGUGAAGGAACUAGGCAAAAUGGUGCCGUAACUUCGGGAGAAGGCACGCUGAUAUGUAGGUGAAGCGACUUGCUCGUGGAGCUGAAAUCAGUCGAAGAUACCAGCUGGCUGCAACUGUUUAUUAAAAACACAGCACUGUGCAAACACGAAAGUGGACGUAUACGGUGUGACGCCUGCCCGGUGCCGGAAGGUUAAUUGAUGGGGUUAGCGGCAACGCGAAGCUCUUGAUCGAAGCCCCGGUAAACGGCGGCCGUAACUAUAACGGUCCUAAGGUAGCGAAAUUCCUUGUCGGGUAAGUUCCGACCUGCACGAAUGGCGUAAUGAUGGCCAGGCUGUCUCCACCCGAGACUCAGUGAAAUUGAACUCGCUGUGAAGAUGCAGUGUACCCGCGGCAAGACGGAAAGACCCCGUGAACCUUUACUAUAGCUUGACACUGAACAUUGAGCCUUGAUGUGUAGGAUAGGUGGGAGGCUUUGAAGUGUGGACGCCAGUCUGCAUGGAGCCGACCUUGAAAUACCACCCUUUAAUGUUUGAUGUUCUAACGUUGGCCCGUAAUCCGGGUUGCGGACAGUGUCUGGUGGGUAGUUUGACUGGGGCGGUCUCCUCCUAAAGAGUAACGGAGGAGCACGAAGGUUGGCUAAUCCUGGUCGGACAUCAGGAGGUUAGUGCAAUGGCAUAAGCCAGCUUGACUGCGAGCGUGACGGCGCGAGCAGGUGCGAAAGCAGGUCAUAGUGAUCCGGUGGUUCUGAAUGGAAGGGCCAUCGCUCAACGGAUAAAAGGUACUCCGGGGAUAACAGGCUGAUACCGCCCAAGAGUUCAUAUCGACGGCGGUGUUUGGCACCUCGAUGUCGGCUCAUCACAUCCUGGGGCUGAAGUAGGUCCCAAGGGUAUGGCUGUUCGCCAUUUAAAGUGGUACGCGAGCUGGGUUUAGAACGUCGUGAGACAGUUCGGUCCCUAUCUGCCGUGGGCGCUGGAGAACUGAGGGGGGCUGCUCCUAGUACGAGAGGACCGGAGUGGACGCAUCACUGGUGUUCGGGUUGUCAUGCCAAUGGCACUGCCCGGUAGCUAAAUGCGGAAGAGAUAAGUGCUGAAAGCAUCUAAGCACGAAACUUGCCCCGAGAUGAGUUCUCCCUGACUCCUUGAGAGUCCUGAAGGAACGUUGAAGACGACGACGUUGAUAGGCCGGGUGUGUAAGCGCAGCGAUGCGUUGAGCUAACCGGUACUAAUGAACCGUGAGGCUUAACC
rnacentral:rRNA from 1 species